UUGUGCAUUUAUACUAUCCUUAUUUGUGUAAUUUGCUUUAUUAAAUUCCUAGCUGCAAAGGGACCACUCUUAUUUUCGAAUUUUUUGAUUUGUCAUUUUCCAUGUCUGUAGUCUGUGUUGGUGAAACGAAUCUUCCAUGUGAUUUACAUUAUCUUCGCUUUGGCAAUUUUAAAAUCAACUGCAGUUGUAUAUAUGUGUAUUUGUGAUUUUCUUGAAUCCAGGGUUUGUCCUCUCUAUCUGCUCUCGCCCAGACCCCACUUGUGGAACUACACCGGGAAUGUUGUUUUAUAUAUGUGUGUAUAUUGGUGUUGUACUUUUAUAAAGCUACACUAUAUUGAGUGCUUGAUUAUGGCGUUUCUUCAACAUCUAUUUUGAAGUUUGUCGAACCUAAAAGAUAGACAACAAACACUUUGGGUUAGCUAUGGAUCAUAUACAGUCGAGGGAAAGUGAUUUCGAGGUAGAUUUAGAGAGUGGGGGAACAACUAGUGAUGAAGAUGGCAGUUAUAACUAUGAUCUGACUGGUGAAAUUUCUAAUAGAGAGUCGUAUAAAGCGGGUAGUGAGUUUCGUGGAGUUCAAUCGUGCAAUGGAUCUGUAAGGAACCAAGACGGUUCAAGUACAUAUAACAAAAGUUUAAGUGCUGAUGAGCUAUCAUCUGUUAGGCGUACAGAAAUUUUGUCAAACAAAGUGAAGGAAGAGAUAGAAAAGUUGGGUGACAAAAAAAUGAAUAUCGACAAAUCAAGGAAGCCAAAGCCUGCUAAACCACCUAGACCCCCAAAGGGUCCAGCACUGGACGCCUCUGAUGCAAAGUUCGUCAAGGAAAUAUCUGAGCUUGCUAUAUGGAAGCGUAGAAGGACAGAAAGAAUGAAGGCACUGAAGAAAAUUAAAAAGGAGAGCGGUUCAUCUUCGAGGAUGAAUAUAUUAGCAACGGUGAUCACAAUUCUGUUCUUCUUGAUUAUUAUAUUUCAAGGUGUUUUGGGCUCUCGUGUAUGACACCAGUGUGUAUGUCGCCUUUAAAUUCAGAGGGAAUUUUACCAUGCAACAACCAACUGCUUAACUAUUAAAGUGCCUUUACGAAAGUCUUGCUGGUAGAUUUUAAAGUGUAACUCACAAGUGUGCUGUCUUAUCCUCGAAUCUUCCCCCGGCCCAAGAAAAAGACAGCAGGGUGAAAUGAUUCGAGGGGAAACAAUGAUAUCAGCACAAGAGGAGCAGGUCUGAUGAUUUACUAACUGCCCACUUUUUGCAGAUCCAAGGAUUGUGGGUUUGGAAUUAACGGGGGAACUGACUCGCACAAGUUUUGAAUCUUUUGGCUAAUAGUGUCUGCUUAUUGCAUAGAAAUGUAACAAUUACUAUGGAUUUUGUUGAGGGUUCCUGAUAUUUGUAGGUGCUCUUGAGUAGCUAGAAAAAGAUACCCUGAUUACAUGCGCCUGGGCCUCGACACGACUACUGUAUCUUAAUUUGAGAUGUGCACCUUCCUAGUGUUUUGGUUAUGUUAGCCCUUCACUUAUGCAUAGCACCUUUCCUCUAUGUGAUCCGACUGAGGUCAGAUAUUAUCAAACCCAAAGCUUUUGUUUCUAUAGCAGGUGAAAAGAUUUUCCAGCAGAAAAAAGUUCAGUCAAACACCGCACGAGAGAAAUCUUCAAUUUUUGCAGCACUACUAUAUAUGGUUUACUCUUGUAACAAAGCUAGCCUUUAUAUAUCGAGCUUACAUAUAAAAAAAAA